UUGGUCAAUGGGCGCAAGCCUGAACCAGCCAUCCCGCGUGCAGGAAGACGGCGCUAUGCGUUGUAAACUGCUUUUCCAGGGAGAGAAACUUGCGCACGGGUUGCGCAAUUGACGGUACCCUGGGAAUAAGCAUCGGCUAACUCCGUGCCAGCAGCCGCGGUAAUACGGAGGAUGCGAGCGUUAUCCGGAUUCAUUGGGUUUAAAGGGUGCGUAGGCGGACUAUUAAGUCAGUGGUGAAAUCCUGCAGCUUAACUGCAGAACUGCCAUUGAUACUGAUAGCCUUGAGUUUGGGUGAGGUAGGCGGAAUGUGUAAUGUAGCGGUGAAAUGCUUAGAUAUUACGCAGAACACCAAUUGCGUAGGCAGCUUACUGGGCCGACACUGACGCUGAGGCACGAAAGCGUGGGGA
rnacentral:rRNA from 1 species